rnacentral:tRNA from 1 species
UAACUGAGUUGGUUACAGCGCUCGUCUAGCAUACAAGAGUCCUGGGUUCAAAUCCCAG